AUGGUGGACGUGUUCAUGGAUAUCGCCGAUGACCCCACCCUCGAGGUCCAGUACGGCCGUAUUGGUGUGAAGGCCUUCACGCAGGACCUCAUCGCCGGGGGCACCGAGAGCUCCGCCGUCACCGUGGAAUGGGCCAUGUCAGAGCUCAUGAGGAGGCCCGCCGCCUUCGAUGCAGCCACCGAGGAGCUCGACCGCGUUGUUGGUCGUGACCGCUGGGUGUCUGAGAAGGACAUGCCAAACCUGCCCUACAUUGAGGCAAUCGUGAAAGAAUCCAUGCGCAUGCACCCCAUCGUGCCGCUCCUCAUCCCGCGCAUGGCCCGAGAGGACGCCACCAUUGAUGGCUACGACGUCCCCAAGGGUGCGCGUGUGCUCAUCAAUGUGUGGGCCAUCGGCCGGGACCCGGAGCUGUGGGACGCACCGGAGGAGUUCAUGCCGGAGAGGUUCCUGGGGAGCAAGAUGGGUGUGAUAGGGCAGGAUCUCGAGCUGCUGUCGUUUGGGUCCGGUAGACGGAUGUGCCCCGGCUACAACCUCGGGCUGAAGGUGGUGCACUUGAGCUUGGCGAACCUGCUGCACGGGUUCACCUGGAGGCUGCCGGAGGGGGUGAGGAAAGAGGAUCUGAGCAUGGAGGAGGUGUUUGGGCUGUCCACCGGCCGCAAAUACCCGCUGCACGGGUUCAACUGA
rnacentral:rRNA from 1 species